GCCGCGGCUUCCGGGAGGGUCGCGGGGCCUCGGCGGGGCCUCGGGCCGCCAGCGCAUCCCCGGCGCAGACCUGGGCGGAGGCCGGCCCCGCCCCGCGGGAGGUGCCCGGGCUCCCCUGGCCGAGCGCCCCGGGGCCGGGCCCGCUGGGAGGGUCUCGGCCGCUGCGCCCCCGGACACAGGCGGUGGCCCGGCAGCUUCGCGGGAGAAGAGGUCGUGGCGACCCUGUGGACCCUCCUCUCCUGGCAGGCCCACGCCCACUUGCCCCCCCCCCCACCAGGCCCUCCUUCUGGGCCUGGUACCCUGACCCUCACCAUCCUCCCCCACGAGGGGAAGCUGCCACCUGAGCGGGAAGGACAGGAGCUGAACCACUCUUUGGUGAUUUGACAGUUCAGAAGCCUCCUCACUGGGAGUCUGAGCUCUCUACAGCCGUGCAACCACGGGAACACGGUGAACACGGGGAGACCAGUGUCUGUCCUUCCCCCAGCUAUGCUACGUGGUAUGGAAAUCACUGCAGCCCAGUGCCUUUGGGUUCGUUGCUGCGCCCGCUUUUAAAAAUUGUAUUGCGGCUUAAGUAGUUAACAUUCUUGAUAUAGACUCUUCAGAGCCCGAGGCUGACGCGAACAUCUCAUGAUCUCUGUCAUUUUGCUGAGGCAGCUGGAAUAACCCCCACUGCAAGGGGCUUGUUUUCCACAUGGAGAAGGAAACUAUCCGCGAAGUCACCCUGAGCUUACAUUCACACAGUCAUUCUUUUUAACCUGCGGAGACGCAUACGCGCACCUGAUCCCGUUGGCACCUGUUGGCAGCCUUUUGCGGCAAAUAACACCUCGCUUCCCGCGCAGAGAAGACGGAAGGCCGAAGCAGGAACGCAGGCCGGGGAAGAGACGCUUGCGGGGGCCUCGGUGUGAGCCCGGUGCCCAUGGCUCGGGGGCGGGUCCUUCCGCGCCUCCCCCUGCAGCUGCGAGGACCGAGGCCCAGGAAGCAUGAGUGACCUCCCCCCCGCGCCCCCGGCUCACCCGGCACCGGAUUCUGAGCCGCCUGUCUGGACUGCAGCCUGGCGUGCCGUUUCUCCGUGGCCGCGUGCACCAACAGAGUUGCGAUGACCCCCCCUCUUUCCUCCCAGGAUGUGAAACGGGCAGAAAAAUAAAGAGUCGCCUUUCCGCACGUCCCUCCCCGCCUGCUAGAAUGUUUCUCAUGAACGCCCCUCCUGUGGUUGCUCUCCAGUCGAAAUGGGAGGCCUUUGGCACACCCGGGGGCUUUAGGUUUCCCGGGGGCUUCGCAGAGCCACACGAGGGCGUCGCGAGGGCUUCGGUGAGUGCCCGAGUGCAGAUGGUCAUUAGCACGCUGCAGAGCCACGAGGCCGCUCUGGGCAUGAGCAAUGAGCUUGCCCUGCAGAGAAGCCAGAGGGCAGAGAGAGGCCGGGACGCCAGGCUGGCCGCCAACCCCGCGUUUGCCGCCUGUGGGCUUGCUGCCGAUUUUGCCCCCUCCAGGGAGGAGGAAGCUGCAGCCUUUGGCCCCCUGGUGCUGGAUUCGGACAGCGACGAUUCCGUGGACCGGGACAUCGAAGAAGCCAUCCAGGAGUACCUAAAGGCCAAGGGCGGGGCCGCCCAGCCAUCCGGGGCCGCGGACGGGGGGAGGCGGUGCAGACCAGAGGUUCCCCGGAGUAGCGCCCCGACGGCCCCGUGUCCCCCGAAGCUGGCACCCAGCUCAGGGGGCGCCCCUGGCAGCCGCGUGCGAGCCGGCCGGGACCAGGGCUCCGCCUCCCCGGCGAGCGUUAGCAGCGAUGACUCCUUCGAGCAGAGCAUCCAGGCAGAGAUAGAGCAGUUUCUGAACGAGAAGAGACAACACGAGACCCCAAGAGGUGACGUUCCCGUGGACACAAAACCAGACCCCGGCGAUAAUCCGGCCAGACCGGCGUUUAGGUCCAGCAAAGAGCUGGCGGUCAGGGCACACCAUGCACCGGGUGUGACUGGAGCCUGCAGGGAUUUUCUCUUCCGGAAACCCCCCAGGCUGUCGAGGGUGAGCACGCGGCCCCGAGGCCUCAGGUCUAAGGCGGCUGUGGAGCCUGCGGAAGCGGCCCAGAAUAAAGGUACCAUCAGGAGGAGCGCGGGCCCCGGAAGGAGGGCGAAGCGACCCAAGAGCACGGCCCCGGUGCCCGAGGCGUCUGGCUCCAGCAGUGACGAUGGCAUCGAGGAGGCCAUCCAGCUGUACCAGCUGGAGAAGAGGAAGGAAGCGAGCGGAGACCCGCCGCAGAGAGCGCCCUUCGCGGAGGGGAGGGGGCCCGACCCUCCCCCACGCGGCACAAGCCACUCCACAAAAAGUGCCUUGCCCGAAACCCACAGGAAAACACCAAGCAGGAAGAAGCCGGCGGCCCCGAAGGCCGUGGACCUCCGCCCAGGUGGCCCUGCCCCUGACCCCCCCUCCAGGCCCCCCAGGGAACCCAGAGCUGCCGAAGACGAGCUUGCCGAACGGCCGCCGUGCGGGGCAGAAACAUCCGCCGAGCUGAUGUGCGCGGAAGCGAUCCUGGACAUUUCCAAAACGAUCCUGCCAGCCCCCGUGGGGGGCGGCGAGAGCCCCCCGCCUGCCAGCCCGCUCUCCUACCCCCUAGCCCUGCCUGCCCGCUCCGACGGGGACAGCAGCUCCGUGGACAGCAAUGACAGCAUCGAGCAGGAGAUCCAGACGUUCCUGGCUCUGAAGGCUCAGUCGGGGGGUUGGCUGGCCACAACGGAGAGCCGCCCACAGUCCACACAGAGCCCACCGCCGUCGCCUGGCCCCGGGGUCCCUGUCUCCAAAACGCUGGGCCUGUCGCUGAGCUGCAGAAGGAAACGCAGGGGAGGCAGCAAUGCUGUGCGGCCGUCCACACCCAAGAAAACAAGAGAGAUGGUGCAGGAGGGGGCCCAGGCCGCAGACCACGGCCCCGGGAACGCGCAGCCCGGCCGGGCCCCCAGGACGGAGGGCGAGACCAGGGGCCAGCCCCUCUCCUGCAGGCCACUGGAGCUGGGCGAGCAGCACGGUGGCCCGGACGCGAGGGGCGGCGGGUGGCCCGGCCACGGGAAGGCGGCCGCGGUGAGGAGCACCGGGGGGAAGGGGAGCUCGGAGGACAAGAGCAGCUCACUGGACAGCGACGAGGACCUGGACACCGCCAUCAAGGACCUGCUUCGGUCCAGGCGCAGGCUCAGGAGGAGGUGGAAGGACCCCAGGGCCGCGUGCAAGAGGAAGGUCAGGUUCAGCACCACUGAGACCCAGUGCGUGGAUAAACUCGGGGGCUGCCAGAAGGACUGGAAAGACAAGAGCCCUCCUCUGUUGAAGAGUUGCCUCUCCAAACCCAAAAAAGACUGCAGAGAGAAUCAGGUGAAAACAACUUUGAGCGUCUCCUGCAGGGAAACGGAGAGAACGCGGGCAGACGGCACGGGGACCGCGGACGCGCCCCCGGUCCUCCAGUCAAGGAGAAAAGCGUCCGAAGGGAACUCGUUCUGCGGUGACGCAGAAGCCUGUGAACUUCAAGGUGCGGGCCCCAGCCCUGGGCCCCCGCCCGAUGACAGCAGCUCUGUGGACAGCGAUGACAGCAUCGAGCUGGAGAUUAGAAGGUUUUUGGCCGAAAAGGCCAAGGAGUCCGGGAGCGGUUCAGAGGCCCUAGGAGGGGGCCCCGCCGCCCCGGGCACACGGAGCAUGCCCAGGCCCGAGCUGCCGUGCCAGAAGGUGUCCACUCCCGCCCUGGCCCUUCAGCCCGGUGUGUGCACACAGAGCCAGCGGGGCAGGGGUGGCCCUGGGGGCACGGGGAGGGCCUUCCUUCCAGGUGGGAGGAGCGGCCCCCUGGCGGAGCAGGCCUGCCUCCCUGCGGCCCUGGCCAGGCGCACCGGCACGGCCGGGGCCCUGUCCGCCAGAGGGUCGGCUGCCGGUCGGAGACUCGUUUGCACUCACAGAGAUCAGAGCCCGCGAGGGGCCGGGGGUGCCAGAGAGCGAGCUCUUGGCCCGCCGCCCACUCACGUCGAAGCUGGCGUCCGGACGGAAAGCCCCGGUGCGGCCUUUGCUGUGACCACACGGGGCCGGAGCCCGCGGACUCGCAAGCCGGGAGCGGAUGGCCUGGGGGGCCCCCAGACCGGCCUCGCCCUCCCGUGGGCCAACUUCGCCCACCAGAGUCGGCUGCAGAGCGCGUGGGCGCUGAGCCCAGAGGGCAGAGAGGCCGUGUGGAGAGGGGGCCUCGGGGGCCAGAGAGACCAGGGGCCGGAGGGCCAGGACCCCAAGAAGGGCCUACCCUUCGCAGGCUUCUCCUCACUGCUGUCCACACAGUUAUUCCACUUCGGGAAGAGUGUCUCCUGGGGGGGGAAGCAGGCGGGAGUCUUUAGCCCGCCCCUGAGUCUGCCCCUGCAGGGCCCGUCCUUCUCGGCCUUCAGAGACACGCCGGCUGGCCACAGCCCCGUGUCCGGAGGCUCGCGCCUGCUCACGAAGAAGGAAGGCGGACGCUGGCCCAGCCGGAAGUCACAGGCUGCGUGCACCCUGCACGCCAGGAGGAACUCGGGCUCUGAGGACGACGGUUUGGACCUGAGGUACAGGCGGAGGGCCGUCGGUGGAGAGGACGAGGCCCGGGAGGCCGUGGGCAGCGACUCGAGCGAGCUCAGCGACACGUCCGUGGAGGAGGGCGGCGGCCCGGCGGCCAAGGGCAAAGCCCUCCAGCCCUGAGGACGCGUGCUGGCUCUGUGUCCUUGUGGGAAGCGCGUCUGUGUGUGCCCGCUGCUCGCGAGCCUGGGCCCGGAACGGGAAGGCCCCCUGCGCAGCCCCGUAGACGGGGCAUUCCUAACUGCCGCUUUCUGUGGUCUGUGUGCGAGGCUUAGAUUAGCGGCCACUUGGCUUGGCCGUCACAGCCAGGGCUCAGGUGACCCUGACCGCCAGUGUGGCCGCUGGAAGGGUCUGGCCGUGCCUGGGAAGGCAGCGGUGGACGCCCGCCCUGAGCGUCCCAGAAGCGCCCCCGGAGGCUUCCGUCGGGAAGCUACUGGACAGCUCUUGUGACCUGAAGGCCGCCGGUCCCGCGAGGCCAGGGCGAGUCCUCUGAGCGCUGCGGUCGCCGCCUCCACAGGAGAACAUUUCAAAGCACAACGGCCAGCGGGCGGACGGACCGGCACCCGAGCCUGUGUUGUUUAACGUCCAGCCCUGUUCAAUUCCUGUGUGAUUCUAACAGCCCAAUAAAGCCCUUUUCGUAUGGGAGCCACUAUUCCUCGUCGUCAGUCACGGUCUGGGAAGGUGACGUCCCCUGAGAGUGCCCUCCUCCCCGUCGGCACUCGGGAACACACGAGACCGGGGCCACUUUCCUUGUUGUGGUGCCCAGACGUCUGGAGAGCCCGGGAUGAGGCCCAGCACCCUCCAGGGACCGGGGCCUCGCCAGGGCGUGCCCGCACACUCACUCAUUCACACUCACAC